UACAGAGGGUGCUAGCGUUAAUCGGAAUUACUGGGCGUAAAGGGUGUGUAGGUGGCGCGCUAAGUCGGGUGUGAAAUUUCGGAGCUUAACUCCGAAACUGCAUUCGAUACUGGCGUGCUUGAGGACUGGAGAGGAGACUGGAAUUCAUGGUGUAGCAGUGAAAUGCGUAGAGAUCAUGAGGAAGACCAGUGGCGAAGGCGGGUCUCUGGACAGUUCCUGACACUGAGACACGAAGGCCAGGGGAGCAAACGGG
rnacentral:rRNA from 1 species